UUUAAAACUGUACCUAAAUAACCAACCAAUCAAUCAUAGAACAUAUUCAUUAUUUGCCAUCAUAAACCACACCUAAAUAACCAAUACAUAAUCAAUAUAUAUAUUCGUCAUAUAGCCUAUAGGAACAUACACCAUGAGUAAAAAAAAAUACAUCCAUCAUUUACCUCAUUACUCAAGCCGAAUUAUAUGACCAUCCACACAAGAUAUACCAUAUAACAUACUUCCAAAAUAACCUAAUUACAUGGUCGAUUUAUACAUCAUACUUAACAUUACUUUCAAGCCAUUUCGCAUGGCUAUAUAUAUACCAUUCAAAACAAAGCUUAUCGAAAAUAGCUUAUACAUCAUUUACAAGCCAACUCACAUGGCUAAUUUCAUAUCUCAAAACAUAUCCUAUUGACACUAACCUAUACAUGUCAUAUACCAUAUAUACACAACUCAAAAGUACCAAGUAGAUGGUUGGAUAGUGUGAAGUAGUCUCUGACGAUUCCCGAAUUUGAGCUAGCCUUGAAUUCACUAUAAAACACAGGAAAAACAAACAAGGUAAGCUACAAAUCUUAGUAAGUUCGUACUAAAUAUACUCAACAAUUCAUAAAACACAAAUCAUUAAUUUGAACAAUUUAAUGUAUAAUUCAUGAUAAUAUCAAACAUUCCAUAAGCUUAUUCAUAUACUUAUAUGCAAAGUUUUAACCUAUUCUAUUUGAAAUUCAUACUUACAUGUACAUACCUGUACAAAUUCAUAACGAAUUCAUAUAUUCGCGUAACACUAUCGAAUACUCAAUGUUUCGCACACUAAAUGCCAUCGCAUAGCCGAAGCUAUUAUAAUCCCACACACUAAGUGUCUUACAUAGCCGAAACUAUCUCUGUCUCGCACACUAAAUGCCAUAAAUAGCCGAAUUAGCUAUCUCAAAUCGCACACUAAGUGCUAAACAUAGUCGAUUAAUCGUCAAACAUGAUUGUAUUCUAUACAAUUUAUGCAAUAUCAAAGCAUUAAAAGCAUAAUUGUAACAAUGUUUAUCACGUACGAACUUACCUGGGAUGCUAAAAUGGUGAAUCGAGUCGUUUAGUCGAUAACUUCAGUUUUCCCCCGAUCUAGGUCUAAAUUUCGCUUUUCUUGAUCUAUAUAAUAUCAAAUUCAGCUUAUUCAAUCACUAAUUUAUUCAAUUUAAUCCAAAACACACAUUUGGGCACGUUUACACUUUUCCCCCAAAGUUUCACAUUUUUACAAUUUAGUCCAUAUUUCACAAAUACACAAAAUUCAUGAAAUUUAAUACCUUCCUAAGUUAGCCGAAUUUUCCUAGUGCACAUAUCAGCCCAUAUUUAUCAUUUAUUCACACAUUUAACCACAUGUUUUCACAUUUUCACAAAUAAAUCCCUAUUUGACUUUUUUUGUCAAAAAUCACUUAACAAAAUAUGAUAAUCUAUCAACAAAUAUCCAUUUUUCAUCAUCAAACAUUUAAAAGCUUAAACAUUCAUCAAUGGCACUUCAUAAAAACAUUGACAAUUUCAAAAAUUAAGGCAUGGGCUAGCUAGAAUAUAAAGCAACAAUCUCAAAAACGUAAAAAUCAUCAAAAAUCGAGCUCAAAACACUUACCAAUUAAGUCCUAAUUGACCGAACCCUAAAAUGAACUAAAUGUUUUCUUCUUCCAUUAUAUUCGGCCAAAGAAAGAUGAAAUGAAGGUUAGUUUUGGUUUUGUUUUAAUUUAAUUAAAUUUAAAUCACAAAUUACUUAAUUAACCUUAACGAAAUAACAUUAAAUAUAUAUAAUGGUUGUCCAUAAAUGUCCACUUACACAAUCAAUGGUCUAAUAUCAUCAUAAGAACCUUUGGUUUAAUUAAUCAUAGCAAUUAAACACAUUUAACAUAUAGAAUGCCACUUUUGCAUUUUACGCGAUUAAGUUCUUUUUCUCAAAUUGAGCUAUUAAACGAUAAAAUUAAAUCACGAAACUUUCACACAUAUAUAAUCACAUGCUUUAAACACCAAAAAUAAUAUUAAAAUAAUUUUUCAACCUCGAAUUUGUGGUUUCGAAACCACUGUUCCGAUUUAGCUAAAACCGGGUUGUUACAAGGGGUUAAUGUUGCAAUAUUCUCAUCCCUUUUGUUGGGUGACUUUGGCCAUUUGUUGGUCGGCCCCUCACACCUCAUUAUGGAUGGAGAUGUAUUACACGUUCGCGCUUCAUUGGAUGUUUAUCUAUUAAUGAGCAUUUUCUCAACCUUUAUCUUUUACCUUUUAUGCUUACUAUGUGUAUGUAAAAUGCUUGUGUGGAAUUUGAGUUUAAUCAUGUGUUGAAUUGUUUUAUUGGUUGAUUGAUGAAUGGGUUACUUAGCUAAGUUAUUAUCUAUGUUUUGAUUGGUUGUUUGUUCAAGUGCAUUAAAUUGCAUAUUACACUAGAAUUGAUACCUCAAGUGGAAGAUUUAGAUAGACGAGAUCGAGAGGAGACUCUAUCAUGUAAGACUUUGAUAUACUUGUGUUGAGUACUGAGACCGAGAGGAGAUUUAUAUGCUUACAUGAGACCGGGAAGAGAACCUAGUGGUAUCUUUUAGUCUAGGAUGAGACUAAGAGGAGAUCCUUAACUAAGAGUGACAAACAAUAUGAUCAUCAUAGGUGUAUUAGCUUAGUUAUAAUCCAUGACUCAUUUAACCAUCAUUUCAAUCCAUUUGCAUAUUUUCUAAUAAAAAGGUUGAUAUUUUUAUUUGUUAAUUUAAAUUUAGUUUAUAAACAAUUUGUAAUUAAAUUUGCAUUAAUAAUUUUCAACUUUAUUAGAUUAGUAAUUGUUUAACUUGUAAUUAACUUGAUAAAGCAUUUACCAAUUUGGCAAUCCUUUAGGUUUGAUCCUUGGAAUCCUCUAGUGUUCCAUUGACAUUACAAAUAUGACAAUUGACACUGUACACUUACAAUUAAAAUCGCACUUUUAAAUCGUUUUAUAAAAUUGUUUAUUUUUUUGCGUACGCGCACGUGCGGUCAAAGACUCAACUCACUUUCACGAAAAUACAAAUAACAACGAUGUUGUCUUUGUAAUGAACCAACCUAAAACAAAAGUUAGUGUUUCUUUCAGAAAAAUUGGUUGAAUUGAAAAAAAAUUAUAAAUUUUUUAAAAUUCUUUCAUUACUCAACAAAAAAAAUCAUUAAAAAAAAGGUGAUUACUUGUGGAGGGAGAAGAAUGGACGAAAUAGAUAGAAAUGAGAAUGAAUGAGGGUGAGAAUGAAAAGAAUUGUUGAUGCGUAAAAAAACUUAGGUGACGUAAUAUUAUUGAGAGGAACCAGAUUUAUAUAGUAAGAAGGAUCUACUUAAUAUUUUUUCUUGAUGAUGAGGUUGGAGUUGUUAAAAAAAAAAGAGAAAAGCGUGGAAGAAAAAAAAGUAAAAAUAAAUAAAUAAAGUGUCACAUGUUAUAAUUUAAUUGGUUCGAAAAGAAAUUUUAGUGGACCUAUCAUUGUCACGAAAUCAUAGUUUAAAUGUCUAAUUCAACCAAAAAAAAAUGAAGUACCUAACUCAAAAAAGUGAUAUAGUUUGAGGACUGAUUAUUGAAUUAAGCAUAAUUUUUUCUAGUAUGAUAUGUAUAUAUAGUGGUUUUCUGUAUCUACUUGAAAGAAAAAGAAUAUUUUUAACCUAUAGCUUUGAUAUGAGUGACUUACAACUGUUGGCGCCGUAAUAAAUCCGUUACCACACCCACGUGCCACUAUCCUCUUUGCUGUCAACCAGCAUAAAUUUACCCCUAAAAGAUGAAGUAAAAAUGAAAAUGAUAUUUACCGUUUACCCAUAUGGGUUUAUAUUUGGCACGUGUGAAACAGAACACAACUACCAGUCGGGGCGUAGAAGUUCGGUUUGUUUGAAAGUUCCGAAACAGCUCCCUUCCCAACCCCAUCUCUUAUGUCUCUGUGCAUCUACUUUCCAACUAACAUUCCAAACCUCAACUAAUUCUCAAACUUCAUUAAUUAUUUCUCUCUCUUUUUCUAUUUCCUAUUUAUCACCUUCCUUAAAUUUAUUACUCAAAAUUGGAUCAUUUAUAAACUUACCUAAUUUUUUACACCUUUUAUUUUAAUUAUCCAAUUAUGGAGAGUCAAAAAAUAUAUAUUUGGAUCACUGGAAUUAAAUUGUAUAUUUUUACGAUAAUAGAAAUGCAAUCUCAUCAUUUUAAUUUUCUAUAUCUUUAUAACUUUUAAAUAAUUCAAUCAAAUUUUAUUAUUUUUAGGGGACCAAAAUAUAAAUUUGAUAAAUUAUAAAUAAUCUAAAUUUUAAAAAAAAAUCAUUUUAAGGGACCAAACCCCUACCAACCCUUGACUCCAUUAGGACUUUUAUUAUAUAAAAGAAGUAAUUCAUCAAUAGACAUUAUUUUUGUUUUUUUCUUACCUACGAGUUUACAUUAGAUUAUUUAUAAUAAAAUGAUUCUUUGAGUUUAGUAAAAGAUUAAAAAUCCAUUUUCUUUAUAAAUCAAUAAACUGAAUUAUAAGGGUAUUUCAAAUUUUAUAUAUAAUAUUUUUUAGAAAAUGGUUUUUUUCAAAAAAAAAAAAAAGAAGAAAUACCUCUACUGGAAAUUUAAUGAUAUUUAUUUUAAAAAUAAAUAGUUGUCUCAUAAAAAAUAUUUAUAACUUUCUUUUAGUACUUGCCAUUUUUAUUUUAAAAAUAUUUUCUAUUACAUUAUUUUAAAAAUAUUUAUAACAUAUAUUCAAAUAAAAGGUAAAAAGAAAAUAAUGGGCUAAGCAGUCCUGGCGCACAAAGAGUUGUCGUGUUACACGCGCUGAGAUGAGGAAGGUGGGCCAAAGUGCUCCGUUUUGAUGAAAAAAUUAUUGAAAGUACUUUGUAUCGGAGAGUCAAAAGAAAAUGGAGACAGUUAGUUGGCGGUAUUAUCACACACUCUCUCUUACCCCGUGUAAUCCACCAAUCCCAAUCCAAAAAUAACCAACAAACAUUAAUAUGUCACUCUAUAACUAUAUAUAUAACCAACAAAACAUACCUAAAACAUAAUCAUUAUUUACCAUUUAAAACUGUACCUAAAUAACCAACCAAUCAAUCAUAGAACAUAUUCAUUAUUUGCCAUCAUAAACCACACCUAAAUAACCAAUACAUAAUCAAUAUAUAUAUUCGUCAUAUAGCCUAUAGGAACAUACACCAUGAGUAAAAAAAAAUACAUCCAUCAUUUACCUCAUUACUCAAGCCGAAUUAUAUGACCAUCCACACAAGAUAUACCAUAUAACAUACUUCCAAAAUAACCUAAUUACAUGGUCGAUUUAUACAUCAUACUUAACAUUACUUUCAAGCCAUUUCGCAUGGCUAUAUAUAUACCAUUCAAAACAAAGCUUAUCGAAAAUAGCUUAUACAUCAUUUACAAGCCAACUCACAUGGCUAAUUUCAUAUCUCAAAACAUAUCCUAUUGACACUAACCUAUACAUGUCAUAUACCAUAUAUACACAACUCAAAAGUACCAAGUAGAUGGUUGGAUAGUGUGAAGUAGUCUCUGACGAUUCCCGAAUUUGAGCUAGCCUUGAAUUCACUAUAAAACACAGGAAAAACAAACAAGGUAAGCUACAAAUCUUAGUAAGUUCGUACUAAAUAUACUCAACAAUUCAUAAAACACAAAUCAUUAAUUUGAACAAUUUAAUGUAUAAUUCAUGAUAAUAUCAAACAUUCCAUAAGCUUAUUCAUAUACUUAUAUGCAAAGUUUUAACCUAUUCUAUUUGAAAUUCAUACUUACAUGUACAUACCUGUACAAAUUCAUAACGAAUUCAUAUAUUCGCGUAACACUAUCGAAUACUCAAUGUUUCGCACACUAAAUGCCAUCGCAUAGCCGAAGCUAUUAUAAUCCCACACACUAAGUGUCUUACAUAGCCGAAACUAUCUCUGUCUCGCACACUAAAUGCCAUAAAUAGCCGAAUUAGCUAUCUCAAAUCGCACACUAAGUGCUAAACAUAGUCGAUUAAUCGUCAAACAUGAUUGUAUUCUAUACAAUUUAUGCAAUAUCAAAGCAUUAAAAGCAUAAUUGUAACAAUGUUUAUCACGUACGAACUUACCUGGGAUGCUAAAAUGGUGAAUCGAGUCGUUUAGUCGAUAACUUCAGUUUUCCCCCGAUCUAGGUCUAAAUUUCGCUUUUCUUGAUCUAUAUAAUAUCAAAUUCAGCUUAUUCAAUCACUAAUUUAUUCAAUUUAAUCCAAAACACACAUUUGGGCACGUUUACACUUUUCCCCCAAAGUUUCACAUUUUUACAAUUUAGUCCAUAUUUCACAAAUACACAAAAUUCAUGAAAUUUAAUACCUUCCUAAGUUAGCCGAAUUUUCCUAGUGCACAUAUCAGCCCAUAUUUAUCAUUUAUUCACACAUUUAACCACAUGUUUUCACAUUUUCACAAAUAAAUCCCUAUUUGACUUUUUUUGUCAAAAAUCACUUAACAAAAUAUGAUAAUCUAUCAACAAAUAUCCAUUUUUCAUCAUCAAACAUUUAAAAGCUUAAACAUUCAUCAAUGGCACUUCAUAAAAACAUUGACAAUUUCAAAAAUUAAGGCAUGGGCUAGCUAGAAUAUAAAGCAACAAUCUCAAAAACGUAAAAAUCAUCAAAAAUCGAGCUCAAAACACUUACCAAUUAAGUCCUAAUUGACCGAACCCUAAAAUGAACUAAAUGUUUUCUUCUUCCAUUAUAUUCGGCCAAAGAAAGAUGAAAUGAAGGUUAGUUUUGGUUUUGUUUUAAUUUAAUUAAAUUUAAAUCACAAAUUACUUAAUUAACCUUAACGAAAUAACAUUAAAUAUAUAUAAUGGUUGUCCAUAAAUGUCCACUUACACAAUCAAUGGUCUAAUAUCAUCAUAAGAACCUUUGGUUUAAUUAAUCAUAGCAAUUAAACACAUUUAACAUAUAGAAUGCCACUUUUGCAUUUUACGCGAUUAAGUUCUUUUUCUCAAAUUGAGCUAUUAAACGAUAAAAUUAAAUCACGAAACUUUCACACAUAUAUAAUCACAUGCUUUAAACACCAAAAAUAAUAUUAAAAUAAUUUUUCAACCUCGAAUUUGUGGUUUCGAAACCACUGUUCCGAUUUAGCUAAAACCGGGUUGUUACAAGGGGUUAAUGUUGCAAUAUUCUCAUCCCUUUUGUUGGGUGACUUUGGCCAUUUGUUGGUCGGCCCCUCACACCUCAUUAUGGAUGGAGAUGUAUUACACGUUCGCGCUUCAUUGGAUGUUUAUCUAUUAAUGAGCAUUUUCUCAACCUUUAUCUUUUACCUUUUAUGCUUACUAUGUGUAUGUAAAAUGCUUGUGUGGAAUUUGAGUUUAAUCAUGUGUUGAAUUGUUUUAUUGGUUGAUUGAUGAAUGGGUUACUUAGCUAAGUUAUUAUCUAUGUUUUGAUUGGUUGUUUGUUCAAGUGCAUUAAAUUGCAUAUUACACUAGAAUUGAUACCUCAAGUGGAAGAUUUAGAUAGACGAGAUCGAGAGGAGACUCUAUCAUGUAAGACUUUGAUAUACUUGUGUUGAGUACUGAGACCGAGAGGAGAUUUAUAUGCUUACAUGAGACCGGGAAGAGAACCUAGUGGUAUCUUUUAGUCUAGGAUGAGACUAAGAGGAGAUCCUUAACUAAGAGUGACAAACAAUAUGAUCAUCAUAGGUGUAUUAGCUUAGUUAUAAUCCAUGACUCAUUUAACCAUCAUUUCAAUCCAUUUGCAUAUUUUCUAAUAAAAAGGUUGAUAUUUUUAUUUGUUAAUUUAAAUUUAGUUUAUAAACAAUUUGUAAUUAAAUUUGCAUUAAUAAUUUUCAACUUUAUUAGAUUAGUAAUUGUUUAACUUGUAAUUAACUUGAUAAAGCAUUUACCAAUUUGGCAAUCCUUUAGGUUUGAUCCUUGGAAUCCUCUAGUGUUCCAUUGACAUUACAAAUAUGACAAUUGACACUGUACACUUACAAUUAAAAUCGCACUUUUAAAUCGUUUUAUAAAAUUGUUUAUUUUUUUGCGUACGCGCACGUGCGGUCAAAGACUCAACUCACUUUCACGAAAAUACAAAUAACAACGAUGUUGUCUUUGUAAUGAACCAACCUAAAACAAAAGUUAGUGUUUCUUUCAGAAAAAUUGGUUGAAUUGAAAAAAAAUUAUAAAUUUUUUAAAAUUCUUUCAUUACUCAACAAAAAAAAUCAUUAAAAAAAAGGUGAUUACUUGUGGAGGGAGAAGAAUGGACGAAAUAGAUAGAAAUGAGAAUGAAUGAGGGUGAGAAUGAAAAGAAUUGUUGAUGCGUAAAAAAACUUAGGUGACGUAAUAUUAUUGAGAGGAACCAGAUUUAUAUAGUAAGAAGGAUCUACUUAAUAUUUUUUCUUGAUGAUGAGGUUGGAGUUGUUAAAAAAAAAAGAGAAAAGCGUGGAAGAAAAAAAAGUAAAAAUAAAUAAAUAAAGUGUCACAUGUUAUAAUUUAAUUGGUUCGAAAAGAAAUUUUAGUGGACCUAUCAUUGUCACGAAAUCAUAGUUUAAAUGUCUAAUUCAACCAAAAAAAAAUGAAGUACCUAACUCAAAAAAGUGAUAUAGUUUGAGGACUGAUUAUUGAAUUAAGCAUAAUUUUUUCUAGUAUGAUAUGUAUAUAUAGUGGUUUUCUGUAUCUACUUGAAAGAAAAAGAAUAUUUUUAACCUAUAGCUUUGAUAUGAGUGACUUACAACUGUUGGCGCCGUAAUAAAUCCGUUACCACACCCACGUGCCACUAUCCUCUUUGCUGUCAACCAGCAUAAAUUUACCCCUAAAAGAUGAAGUAAAAAUGAAAAUGAUAUUUACCGUUUACCCAUAUGGGUUUAUAUUUGGCACGUGUGAAACAGAACACAACUACCAGUCGGGGCGUAGAAGUUCGGUUUGUUUGAAAGUUCCGAAACAGCUCCCUUCCCAACCCCAUCUCUUAUGUCUCUGUGCAUCUACUUUCCAACUAACAUUCCAAACCUCAACUAAUUCUCAAACUUCAUUAAUUAUUUCUCUCUCUUUUUCUAUUUCCUAUUUAUCACCUUCCUUAAAUUUAUUACUCAAAAUUGGAUCAUUUAUAAACUUACCUAAUUUUUUACACCUUUUAUUUUAAUUAUCCAAUUAUGGAGAGUCAAAAAAUAUAUAUUUGGAUCACUGGAAUUAAAUUGUAUAUUUUUACGAUAAUAGAAAUGCAAUCUCAUCAUUUUAAUUUUCUAUAUCUUUAUAACUUUUAAAUAAUUCAAUCAAAUUUUAUUAUUUUUAGGGGACCAAAAUAUAAAUUUGAUAAAUUAUAAAUAAUCUAAAUUUUAAAAAAAAAUCAUUUUAAGGGACCAAACCCCUACCAACCCUUGACUCCAUUAGGACUUUUAUUAUAUAAAAGAAGUAAUUCAUCAAUAGACAUUAUUUUUGUUUUUUUCUUACCUACGAGUUUACAUUAGAUUAUUUAUAAUAAAAUGAUUCUUUGAGUUUAGUAAAAGAUUAAAAAUCCAUUUUCUUUAUAAAUCAAUAAACUGAAUUAUAAGGGUAUUUCAAAUUUUAUAUAUAAUAUUUUUUAGAAAAUGGUUUUUUUCAAAAAAAAAAAAAAGAAGAAAUACCUCUACUGGAAAUUUAAUGAUAUUUAUUUUAAAAAUAAAUAGUUGUCUCAUAAAAAAUAUUUAUAACUUUCUUUUAGUACUUGCCAUUUUUAUUUUAAAAAUAUUUUCUAUUACAUUAUUUUAAAAAUAUUUAUAACAUAUAUUCAAAUAAAAGGUAAAAAGAAAAUAAUGGGCUAAGCAGUCCUGGCGCACAAAGAGUUGUCGUGUUACACGCGCUGAGAUGAGGAAGGUGGGCCAAAGUGCUCCGUUUUGAUGAAAAAAUUAUUGAAAGUACUUUGUAUCGGAGAGUCAAAAGAAAAUGGAGACAGUUAGUUGGCGGUAUUAUCACACACUCUCUCUUACCCCGUGUAAUCCACCAAUCCCAAUCCAAAAAUAACCAACAAACAUUAAUAUGUCACUCUAUAACUAUAUAUAUAACCAACAAAACAUACCUAAAACAUAAUCAUUAUUUACCAUUUAAAACUGUACCUAAAUAACCAACCAAUCAAUCAUAGAACAUAUUCAUUAUUUGCCAUCAUAAACCACACCUAAAUAACCAAUACAUAAUCAAUAUAUAUAUUCGUCAUAUAGCCUAUAGGAACAUACACCAUGAGUAAAAAAAAAUACAUCCAUCAUUUACCUCAUUACUCAAGCCGAAUUAUAUGACCAUCCACACAAGAUAUACCAUAUAACAUACUUCCAAAAUAACCUAAUUACAUGGUCGAUUUAUACAUCAUACUUAACAUUACUUUCAAGCCAUUUCGCAUGGCUAUAUAUAUACCAUUCAAAACAAAGCUUAUCGAAAAUAGCUUAUACAUCAUUUACAAGCCAACUCACAUGGCUAAUUUCAUAUCUCAAAACAUAUCCUAUUGACACUAACCUAUACAUGUCAUAUACCAUAUAUACACAACUCAAAAGUACCAAGUAGAUGGUUGGAUAGUGUGAAGUAGUCUCUGACGAUUCCCGAAUUUGAGCUAGCCUUGAAUUCACUAUAAAACACAGGAAAAACAAACAAGGUAAGCUACAAAUCUUAGUAAGUUCGUACUAAAUAUACUCAACAAUUCAUAAAACACAAAUCAUUAAUUUGAACAAUUUAAUGUAUAAUUCAUGAUAAUAUCAAACAUUCCAUAAGCUUAUUCAUAUACUUAUAUGCAAAGUUUUAACCUAUUCUAUUUGAAAUUCAUACUUACAUGUACAUACCUGUACAAAUUCAUAACGAAUUCAUAUAUUCGCGUAACACUAUCGAAUACUCAAUGUUUCGCACACUAAAUGCCAUCGCAUAGCCGAAGCUAUUAUAAUCCCACACACUAAGUGUCUUACAUAGCCGAAACUAUCUCUGUCUCGCACACUAAAUGCCAUAAAUAGCCGAAUUAGCUAUCUCAAAUCGCACACUAAGUGCUAAACAUAGUCGAUUAAUCGUCAAACAUGAUUGUAUUCUAUACAAUUUAUGCAAUAUCAAAGCAUUAAAAGCAUAAUUGUAACAAUGUUUAUCACGUACGAACUUACCUGGGAUGCUAAAAUGGUGAAUCGAGUCGUUUAGUCGAUAACUUCAGUUUUCCCCCGAUCUAGGUCUAAAUUUCGCUUUUCUUGAUCUAUAUAAUAUCAAAUUCAGCUUAUUCAAUCACUAAUUUAUUCAAUUUAAUCCAAAACACACAUUUGGGCACGUUUACACUUUUCCCCCAAAGUUUCACAUUUUUACAAUUUAGUCCAUAUUUCACAAAUACACAAAAUUCAUGAAAUUUAAUACCUUCCUAAGUUAGCCGAAUUUUCCUAGUGCACAUAUCAGCCCAUAUUUAUCAUUUAUUCACACAUUUAACCACAUGUUUUCACAUUUUCACAAAUAAAUCCCUAUUUGACUUUUUUUGUCAAAAAUCACUUAACAAAAUAUGAUAAUCUAUCAACAAAUAUCCAUUUUUCAUCAUCAAACAUUUAAAAGCUUAAACAUUCAUCAAUGGCACUUCAUAAAAACAUUGACAAUUUCAAAAAUUAAGGCAUGGGCUAGCUAGAAUAUAAAGCAACAAUCUCAAAAACGUAAAAAUCAUCAAAAAUCGAGCUCAAAACACUUACCAAUUAAGUCCUAAUUGACCGAACCCUAAAAUGAACUAAAUGUUUUCUUCUUCCAUUAUAUUCGGCCAAAGAAAGAUGAAAUGAAGGUUAGUUUUGGUUUUGUUUUAAUUUAAUUAAAUUUAAAUCACAA
rnacentral:lncRNA from 1 species